GAUGAACGCUGGCGGCGUGCUUAACACAUGCAAGUCGAACGAAGCGGCUGCAGGGAUUCCCUUCGGGGGGGAACAGUAGCUGUCUGAGUGGCGGACGGGUGAGUAACGCGUGGGCAACCUGCCCCAUACCGGGGGAUAACAGCCGGGAACGGCUGCUAAUACCGCAUACGCCCAGGAGGCUGCAUAGCUUCCUGGGGAAAACUCCGGUGGUAUGGGAUGGGCCCGCGUCUGAUUAGCUCGUUGGCGGGGUAACGGCCCACCAAGGCAACGAUCAGUAGCCGGCCUGAGAGGGCGGCCGGCCACAUUGGGACUGAGGCACGGCCCAGACUCCUGCGGGAGGCAGCAGUGGGGAAUAUUGCACAAUGGGGGAAACCCUGAUGCAGCGACGCCGCGUGAGCGAUGAAGUAUCUCGGUAUGUAAAGCUCUAUCAGCAGGGAAGAAGAUGACAGUACCUGAGUAAGAAGCCCCGGCUAACUACGUGCCAGCAGCCGCGGUAAUACGUAGGGGGCAAGCGUUAUCCGGAUUUACUGGGUGUGAAGGGAGCGUAGACGGAUGGAUAAGUCUGAAGUGAAAGCCCGCGGCUCAACUGCGGGACUGCUUUGGAAACUGUGCAUCUUGAGUACGGGAGGGGCAGGCGGAAUUCCUGGUGUAGCGGUGAAAUGCAUAGAUAUCGCGCAGAACUCCGAUUGCGAAGGCAGCAUGCCGGCUCCACACUGACGCUGAGGCACGAAAGCGUGGGUAUCGAACAGGAUUAGAUACCCUGGUAGUCCACGCAGUAAACGAUGAAUGCUGGCUGUCCGGGGGGAUUGACCCCUGGGUGGCGAAGCGAAAGCGAUAAGCAUUCCACCUGGGGAGUACGCCGGCAACGGUGAAACUCAAAGGAAUUGACGGGGGCCCGCACAAGCGGAGGAACAUGUGGUUUAAUUCGAUGAUACGCGAGGAACCUUACCCGGGCUCAAACGGGGAGUGACUCAGGCAGAGACGCCUGUUUCCCACGGGACACUCCCCGAGGUGCUGCAUGGUUGUCGUCAGCUCGUGUCGUGAGAUGUUGGGUUAAGUCCCGCAACGAGCGCAACCCCUGCCCCCAGUAGCCAGCAUGUAAAGGUGGGCACUCUGAGGGGACAGCCGGGGAUAACCCGGAGGAAGGCGGGGAUGACGUCAAAUCAUCAUGCCCCUUAUGACCGGGGCUACACACGUGCUACAAUGGCGUAAACAAAGGGAAGCGAGAGUGCGAGCUUAAGCGAACCCCAAAAAUAACGCCUCAGUUCGGAUUGCAGCCUGCAACUCGGCUGCAUGAAGUUGGAAUCGCUAGUAAUCGCGGAUCAGAAUGCCGCGGUGAAUACGUUCCCGGGUCUUGUACACACCGCCCGUCACACCAUGGGAGUCGGGAAUGCCCGAAGUCGGUGACCUAACCGAAAGGGAGGAGCCGCCGAAGGCAGGCCUGGUAACUGGGGUG
rnacentral:rRNA from 1 species